rnacentral:lncRNA from 1 species
AAAAGAAAAAAAGAAGAAAAAAAAUAUAAGGAUGUAUACAUGUCAAUACAUACUCCUUAUGAAAAAAAAGAGAAAGAAGAAGAGAAAUAUGAAUGAAAACAGUUACUAUAGAGUUGUUGAAGUGGAUGAAAUAUUUUGUAAAUUCAACUCCCGCAGUUUCUUUCAAGUCUCUUUUGUCUCUUUGAAUUUUAGCCUAAUACCCCU